rnacentral:lncRNA from 1 species
GUUGAAUAUGAGUGUAAAACUAAAGUAAAAAAGUAUGAAUUAUAAAUUGGUACGCCGCGGACGGCUCCAUCGCUUUAGCAGCGCUGCCCUCCAGCGCUCUCCGAUUCCGCCGCGUCAGCUCCACGUGCAGACGUUCUUGGCGGAUGUUUAUGCAACGGACGAAAUAUGAUGCCAGUUCGACUCGAUGCCCGUCCACUCCUGUACUGUAUCAGCAUUCUUACAAAGUAAGAACAUUGCCGAUACCCUGCCGUUGGUGGAGAGUGUUAACUUAUG